AUGUGUACAACUACCGUUGCCGUGAUUUCGACAAGACAUCAUGUACCUCUACUUCCACUACGACACGAGUACAACUACUUCCCACGACGACUCGUGAACGCCUACUUCCUCUACACCGCUCCAAACUCGAACCGCUUCAAAAAUGCACGCUUCAAAGCUUCGGGUUCGUUCUGGAGUUGUGAGGAUUCGUUCGACUACGUUCGUUUGUCUUCUUCAUGGACUCGUUCUUCUUCCUUGCGGGAUUUCAGGCAAGAUGACCAUUACCCUCGAUAUCACUUCUAUCUUUGCUUGCUAGUUGCUCCGAUCUAUCGCUAUGUUGCGCUACCUAUCACUUGUUUACCAUGCCUUCCAAAUUGCCAUGUCAGCCUCUAA
rnacentral:rRNA from 1 species